rnacentral:lncRNA from 1 species
AGUGAGAAGAAAUGUGGCAACUGGGACUAGUCUUUUAUUUUCUUUUAUUUUUUUAUUUUUUUUUCCUUUUUGUGGAGAACAGGGUCUCGCUAUAUUGCCCAGGCAGGUCUGGAACUCCUGGGCUCAAGCUAUCCUCCCACCUGUUGCCUCCCUGAGAGCUGGGAUUACAGGCGUGAGCCACCGCGCCCGGUAUUUUUAAAUUUUCUUUAUUUUUUUUAAGAUGGAAUUUCACUCUUGUCACCCAGGCUGGAGUGCAAUGGCGCAAUCUCAUCUCACUGCCACCUCUGCCUCCCAGGUUCAAGCGAUUCUCCUGCCUUAGCCUCCCAAGUAGCUGGGAUUACAGGCACGNNNNNNNNNNUCCCAGCUACUUGGGAGGCUGAGGCAAGAGAAUCGCUUGAACCCGGGAGGCAGAGGUGGCAGUGACCCGAGAUCGCACCAUUGUACUCCAGCCUGGGCAACAGUGAGACUCCGUCUCAAACAAAACAAAACAAAAGAAACAAACAAACCCUGGAUUUGAUCUACCUCUCAUUAUCUCUUUACUCAUUUGCUCACAUAGCAAAUGUUUGCUGAAUGCUAUCCCACCUCAGCCUCCCAAAGUGCUGGGAUUACAGGCAUGAGCCACCGACUGGGAUUACAGGCAUGAGCCACCGAGUCCAGCCUAAACUUCAUUUCUAAUCAAGACAUUUAGAGAAAAGGAAAAAAAAGAGAAUACUUAUUAUAUGCUAAUAAAUACCAAUUAAGACCACCACCACAACUAGUAUUUGCGUUGCACCCGUGGAGAGAUGAAAGGGAAUGGUAGGUUCUCAGGUCCACCUCCACCCAGGGUAAGAAAGUUCUAACGUUCUGUCAGCUAACUUGCUAGACACUGUGCUCCGAACUACUUCAGCAGGGGAUCCACAUUGCACAGCUGAGCCAUUAGAAGUCUUCAGGUGAUUCGCUGAAAAUCUAUCUCCUUGGACCUUCACCGCACAGAGACCUAGUGCAUCACAGAAAUUCAAUGACUGGCGACGUGCAGUGGCUCACGCCUGUAACCCCAGCACUUUAGGAGGCUGAAGUGGGAGGAACUGCAGCUUCCGCCUCCCGGGUUCAAGCAAUUCAUUCCUAUCUCAGACAUGCAAGCACGAGACCUUCUCCUUGGUGUUCUCAUGGCUCCAAUUUGUUUGGACCUGACAAUGUGAUUUUGUCCUGGUAUCUGCAACUUUCACAAGAUGGAGCAACUCAACACCAGAUUCCACCCCUAAUUAUUCCUUCAUUCACUCAAAAAGUAUCUAGGCACCAAUGUGUCAGGCACCGUGUUGGUCACAGGGGAUACCAUGAUGAACAAGAGAAGGAACCACAGGCUUUUGAAUGGGAGACUAAAGCAUGUGAAAAACACACGGAGAGCUGGGUGCGGUGGCUCAUGCCUGUAAUCCCAGUGCUUUGGGAGGCUGAGGAUGGAGGAUCGCUUCUGCCCGGGAGUUGGAGACCAGCCUGGACAACCUAGUGAGACCCCCGUCUCUAUCAAAAUAAAAACAAAUAAUAAAAUUAGCUGGGUGGGGUGGGGUGCGCCUGUAGUCCCAGCUACUCGGGA